CUCCUUUCCAUUAUAAUGCUCCACACUCCAGUCCAGUUGGUGGCGGUAAAGCAGCAUAAGUUGUCUUGUCAACCGCCAUUAAACACUACAAGAAGAAGACGAAGAAGCGAUGUACUUUUAUCUCCAGAACAGCAGGUGGCGCUUCAGCUUCUCGUCACUGUGAAUUUUCUCUCUGUGUUCAAACACGAGUUAAAGAUGUUCAGACACAUUACGAGUCUUCAGCAGGUCUUCAGACGACCGAUCUCUGCUAGCGUCAGCAGACCACUAGAGAACAAGGUUGCAGUGAAACAGAAGAUCUUUCAGGAAGCUAAUGGUAUGCCAGUACAUCUGAAGGGCGGACUCGGUGAUACCGUGCUUUACCGCGCUACUAUGGGACUCACAGUGCUGGGAGCAGCGUUUGCUGUAUAUGAGCUGGUAAAGGCAGCCGUCCCUCAGAAGAAUGAAUGACUUCAACUUCUGCACUUAAAAUGUGAAGAUUGUUUUCUUAGAAAAUGUUUAGACUUUUGGAAGGAGAAUAUGGCUCCUCUUCAGGUAUUUAAGGGAUAAGAUUACAUACAGGUCAAGGUUUUGGAAAGUGGGAUAUAACUCGUCAUGAAUCAUUCCUGCUCCAGACAGAAGUCAUGCAUCUCAUCUUGAAGUUGCCAAGGACAAAUUUUGAGAAAAAAUCUUUUUAUAAAAUGAUGAAAAAAUCUUAUAGAUUUACACUACAUAAAAUGACUUUCUUGCUUGGUAUUUUUGUUUUG